rnacentral:rRNA from 1 species
UACGUAGGGGGCAAGCGUUGUCCGGAAUCAUUGGGCGUAAAGAGCGUGUAGGCGGCCCGGUAAGUCCGCUGUGAAAGUCCAGGGCUCAACCCUGGGAUGCCGGUGGAUACUGUCGGGCUCGAGUCCGGAAGAGGAGUGUGGAAUUCCUGGUGUAGCGGUGAAAUGCGCAGAUAUCAGGAGGAACACCAAUGGGGAAGGCAGCACUCUGGGACGUGACUGACGCUGAGACGCGAAAGCGUGGGGAGCAAACAGG